GACAUAGGUGGCGAACGUUAUCCGGAUUUAUUGGGCGUAAAGGAUGCGUAGAUGGUGGAAUAAGUUAUUGGUCGAGGUCAAGCUCAACUUGGCGGAAGCUGAUAAUACUGUUCUACUUGAGGGCAGGAGAGGUUGGCGGAAUUCUGUGUGGAGCGGUGAAAUGCGUUGAUCUACAGAGGAACACCAAAAAGGGCGAAGGCAGCCAACUAUUCUGAUCCUGACAUUGAGGCAUGAAAGCGUGGGGAGCAAACCGG
rnacentral:rRNA from 1 species